GCAACCUUAUUGUUGUUUCCUUCAUUCUCUUGAAGGUUUUUCUCUUGUUACUUCUUUCUCUUGAAGGUGUGUAGGAUAAGUACGUUAAAGGCUAGAUUAGAGCCUACAAGGCGAAUUUUUGCUAAUGUGCUAUCAUUUUUCAAGUAUGCUAUAGAAGUUUAGUCCAAAUCAGUUGAAUUUUUUUUUUUUUUGUCAUAAUUGAUGGUGGUAAUUGAAUUGUUUAUCAACUAAUUGGAGUUCAUUUUGCAGUUUGUAUUGAGAACUGUGCAUUAUUUGCUGUGUUAAGCUGCUG
rnacentral:misc_RNA from 1 species